UACGGAGGGUGCAAGCGUUGUCCGGAAUCACUGGGCGUAAAGGGCGCGUAGGCGGCUCAUGAAGGCUGUGGUGAAAGUCCGGGGCUCAACCUCGGAUCGGCCGUGGCGACUCGUGGGCUGGAGCACUGUAGAGGCAGGUGGAAUUCCGGGUGUAGCGGUGGAAUGCGUAGAGAUCCGGAAGAACACCGGUGGCGAAGGCGGCCUGCUGGGCAGUAGCUGACGCUGAAGCGCGACAGCGUGGGGAGCAAACAGG
rnacentral:rRNA from 1 species